rnacentral:rRNA from 1 species
UACGUAGGGGGCAAGCGUUACUCGGAAUUACUGGGCGUAAAGCGUGCGUAGGUGGUUCGUUAAGUCUGAUGUGAAAGCCCUGGGCUCAACCUGGGAAUGGCAUUGGAAACUGGCGACCUAGAGUGCGGUAGAGGGCAGUGGAAUUCCCGGUGUAGCAGUGAAAUGCGUAGAGAUCGGGAGGAACAUCUGUGGCGAAGGCGACUGCCUGGACCAGCACUGACACUGAGGCACGAAAGCGUGGGGAGCAAACAGG